CCGACCGGACUGGGCCUGUGAAGGCUGUGGCUGGAAGGCAGUGUCUGCGAAAGUGUCGGGGCUAUCCUUCCAUCUCCUACUUCCAGAAACAACCUGUGCAAAGAGUGGCAGCUCAUGACAAGGAGGGAACUGAGGCCUGGAAGGGUCUCAGUUGAUGCAAAGGAAGGAAUUGUGCGUCCUAUAUAAGGGCAGCAAUUGCUCCAUUUACGGAACGUUAAGCUUCCUUCAAUCUCUUUUCUCCCAUUGCCUCCUUUUAUCUUUUUGUGUUGUGAGGUAAGUCUGUUCUUAUGCCCCAUUUACAGAUAUGGUAUCUGAGACCCAGGGCCGACUCUCUUGCGCACGGCGGAGAAGUGGUCGAGACAGAAUUGGAACCUAGGUUUGUGGUCUUUAUACCAGGAACCUGUCGAACGAUCUUACAGGAGCUUUAGCUCAUUACCUGUUGAUUGUUCUUUAUUUGCUCACUUUAUUUACUGAGCACCACUGCGCCGGGCUUCCCAGGCCCUAGAGAAACGAGAACAUGGCAUGGCACCUGCGCAUGGACCUUUCUGGAGAAGUAAGGAGACAAUAAACGGAAUAAUACAGUGUGGUGUUAAGAAGAAAAUGAAAAGGAUGCCGAGCCCUCAUGAUAAGUGUAGACCUGUGCCUGUGUGCUUCCAAUGAAAAGUGAAUAGAAGAGGUGUGCACAUGUUCCAGGCCUGGCUCAUAACAACCUUCAACAGGUGCUCCUCUAGCCUCUUUCUCUGCCAGCUGGAAGCAAAUAACCACCAGAUUCUGGAAAAGACAAAACUCCUCAAGACUGAAGAUUCCUGAGUGGAGAACCUAUCUCGCCAACCUGCAUGUCCACUCAGAACUGUUAUUUUCAAAGGAAAAAAAAAAACUAAUAAUAAUAA